CAUUUUUUGGUUUUACGAGCAUUAUUUUGGGAUUUAAAGGAAUAUGUUGUUUGGAGUCAAAGACAGCUAGAGUUGAUUAUAAACAAAAAUUACUCUUCCUCGACAACCAGUAACAUUAACAAAAAUUACGAUAUGUAUUGUAUACCGAGCUCAGGCCAAGAAUUAGUCUGUGAUAUUAAUUAAUCUCAAAUAUUAUCACAACGGUGAGACCAAAGCACUAUUUUUAACCUACAUUUAAAUUCCUUCUGCCAAAAAGAAAAGACAUCCAUAGAAUAUAUGCUUGCUUCUUAGUUAGCAUAAUAUAUAUAAUCUACAGAAUCCACGCUAGCUAGCUUGUUGAAACCAAUAUUGGAAUUGAAUUAGCUUAAUAAAAAUGCAAAUGGCACAAAUCAGUGCUGCUCUUGUUGUUCUUGCUGCGUUUCUGCUGGUUUCUCCGAGCAUGGUGUUGGGAGAACAAUAUAUAUAUUGUCGGUGAUAUUGGCUGGGGAGUGUUUGAGCUCAGUAGGUAUUUUUGGUCCAAGACUCGGGGUACGUUUUGGAUAACAUUUGGGCCAGUACCUGUGGCCCUUUUUUAAUGCGAAGCCCACGAAGGAUGGCGAAGUCUGGCAACACGCGAGCUGGAGUUUUGCAAGGAUUCCGAUACCCCGCGGGAUUCGAUGUCCUCGCGGGAUCCUUUGUUCAGUUCGUGUAGGAUUCUACAGUGCAUGGCGAGGUAGAGUUGGAAAUGGACUGUAGUACUCCGCGGGAUAGGAUCGCUUAGUGUUCGAGUUCGCGUACGACGCUACAGUAAGAUGAUGCGGGGCGGUGAGCGAGACCUAGGCGAGGUCUGUUCUGGACACGUGUUGCACGGAUCGCGCGGCUCGCGAGCUGGUCGUAUCCUUGUGGAAUUCUAAUUGCUGAGUCCGAAUGGGUUAUGACUAGGUCUAUGCGAAUUGCUCGCGGAUCACUAUAUAAGGGAGCUUGACAUAAUCAAAGAGGACACAAUCAAUCAUACAAAAACAAGUACAAGUUCUCGAGCAUCCUCGAAACCCUAAGUUCUAAGUGCACUUCGCCUUAGUUCUCAGACUCCCUCCCGAUUCGCCUCCUUCCCCUAGUUGUUGCUCUGCUCACCCUAGCAGUGAGUAUCGAUUCACAAGUGACAAGAAGUUUUACUCGUAAUCCCUCGUCGGCGAGGUGGCACCGGUAACCCCUUCUUCGCUUGUUUAGAAGUCUAGCCGCAGCGCAUUCUUUUCCUCGCCCGCGAGGUGGCACGCCCCGCAAAUGUCCUUCUCUUUACUUUUGAGUCACCGGAGUUCCGACUCUGCCCCUGCUGAGACGCGUGGCCAAAACAUUGGCACGCCCAGUGGGACCGGGAGUAUAACAUUCUCGUCAUCAUUGGGAAAUCAGGCGGAUCCCCAUACGGGAGACCCUCGGUUUCUUGUUUGAAACAUAAAUCUUCACAAUACAAGCCCCAUAACAGCGCGGCUUGUCGAUCUCUCACCCAAGAAGAAGUUCUCGCUCGGUUUGGCACACCCGACCAUAGCGGAACCAUAAUGACAGGUUCACGACCAACCCAGGACACAGGACCUACUCUGCCAGCUGACGAAGUCCGCCAGAUGUUUGGGGAACUGAAGAAUAAUCUCGACUCACUCAGCUCGAAAGUCGACACCACCCAGCAAAGUGUCAAAGACCUCUCUGAACAGGUCACUAAGGACAGAACUAUCUGGCUCGCUAACCAAGAAAACCUUUCUAGGCUCAGCGAGGAGUUUAAUUACGUUGCUGGUCAUGUCAGGGAGGACAAAGACUUGGUGGAAGGUUCCCUUCAAAGGAUCCAGAAAGAAUUGGAUCAGAGCAAGGUGACUUUCACCAAAACCCUGCAGCUUACCCGCGCAACCGUGGAUGAGCAGACCCGUCGCUUGGACGAACACGACACCAAGGUACAGCAACAGCAGGACGCUUCUUUCUUUGGAAGCAGGAACAACAUGGAAAAGCUUGAGGACUACAAAGAGCGACAUGAUAAUCUGAGCAUAAGGGUCCUGCAAAUGGAAGACUGGAUACGGGCUCAGACACCAAAAAAUCAUGCCUUGAACUUAGCUAGUUCAAGUGCAACUGAGGGCUCAAGGUACAUUCCACCUAAUGAAUGCCCUAGAGGAAAUCCGAAGGUCGGGGCCCAGAAGACUCCCCAAUUCACAUUGGGGGCCAGUUCGUCAAAGACGCCACCCCUUCUACCCACGCCAGGCAGCCCUGGAGUCACACUCAGGGGCGCCGGUGUCUUCCCAUCUCAAGGGAUCGGGACACCAGAUGACCCAGUUAUAGCUUAUUCCAGUUCGACCCCUAAGAACAUCGUGCAGGUCCCUAGCCUCUCUGCAUGGCAUGGCCACGAUCAGGGGGCAGAGUCCACACCAGUAACGGCAGCCGAUUGGCGCCAGCUCAUCUCGAGCAUAGUCAAGGAGCAAACCGGAAAAGGUGAUACUAGCUUGCAUUAUCGUGACCCCUAUCCAGAUAGCGUGGCACAAUAUCUUUUCCCUCAUGGAUUUAAGAAUAUUGUCUUCACCACUUUCUCCGGAGAGACAAGGGAAGACGCAGCAACACAUAUGGCUCGUUUCAAAGUCCAAUGCGGCCAAUACGGGAAUGAUGAUAUGCUCAAACUCAAGCUUUUUGGGACGUCUCUAUCCGGAGCUGCUUUUACUUGGUACUCCAGAUUGAAGCCUGGGUCAAUAGCUGACUGGCCCACUAUGGAGAGACUUUUCUGAGAGACAUACGGCACAAUUGAACCUGAAGUCGGCCUUGAUUCCCUCACACAGAUGAGCCAGCAAAGCAUGGAGUCUGGAGUUUCCUUCCUCCAGCGUUUCAAGAUCCAACAAGCCAAAUGUGAUUACCUGCUACCUGAGCAUGAAGCCGUUAAGUUGGCUAUCAGAGGCCUGGAGCACCGCCAGCGGUUAAAGCAUCACGGAGAGCACUUUACUUCCAUGGGCGACCUGAUUAACAAGGUCGGUAGCUACGAGCUAAUCCUGAACGAGUUGGAUGACAAAGUAAAUGCCUCCAAAGGAACUUACAUACCAGGGAAGAAUCGGACAGUGGGGACAUUAAGCCUGCAGGCCCCUACUUAUGAUUCCUAUUAUCAAAGGUCUGAGGAAACUCGCCCGGAUCAGGAACAUGAAGAUAUUGGCGCGGUAGAACUGACUGGCAAGCCAUUAGCUCACAAAUUGAAAAACCUGAAGAUAACGCGCGAGCCAAUCACCAUCCAGUCCUUUGCAUGGACCAAGCCAGAGUACGAGUCAUACACCUAUGAUGCUAAGAACGCCCAUCUGGUCUUUAAUGACCUCAUCGAGGCAAGAUACGUGCGCUUGGAUCACAAGAUACCGCCCAAGGAAGAGCUGAAGGACAAAAAAUACUGCGCCUUCCACAAUGUUUACAAUCAUGACACCAAAGAUUGUGUCAAGCUUCGAGACCAGCUGCAGACAUGGCUGAACUCAGGCGAGCUAAAGAUGAAAACACCAGGUAGUACGGCCUCAUUGGUUAAUAUAGACCCUUUUCCGCGUGUAGUUGGCAUGGUCGAGGUAAACUGGGCCGAUCAGACAGAGGACGAAGAUCGACGCCGGGCACCAAAAAGGGCCGCGAGGAAGGUGACGAUGGUGCCCGCCGGCCACGUCGCCAAUACACCUACAACGAAGAUCUUGCACAUGAGGUUUUAGACGAUCUCAUUGAUGACGGGCUCCUCACAGUGGCCAAUUCCUUGCCAUACAUAGAAUAUAAGGAGGGGCGCAUUCACUGCAAGUUUCAUAAUAGCUGGGGGCAAAGAACCUACGAAUGCCAGCAACUCAGAGACCAGGUUCAAGACUGGCUCGACAUCAUGUAUAUUCGCUUUAAGAAUAAGGGCGACUUCAUGAUGGCAACGGCUGACUUCGCUUGGCCUCGAGUAGGCCAACGAAGAAUCACAUUAGACUUGUCGCCAAAUGCCGGUUUACAUGAACCGCCGGGCCGAAAUCGCAAACGGCCGGCGAAUAACUAUACUGUCCCGAAUAACCAGCAGGGGAAAGCAGACGACCCAGCUCGACAGUUGGUCGCUAAGCUCGAAACGGACCGCCCCUCUCGCAAAGAUAAGGGCAAAGCAGUCAUGAGGGACGAUGGACCGUUCCCCGUUGAAGAUCCCCAGCCUAUGAGUCCCAGGACUCGAGAAGAGCUGGAAAGGAGGAUAGAACGUCUCGAGACGUUCGUCUAUACACAUUGGGCAGAGGCGGUACCUUCAUCCCCUGCCACAAGUGAGAUGGACAUGUCAGACUCCAGCGGUGAACGUCACAACAACGAGGCCUCGAGCCCUCGGAAAGGCGUCCUAACCGACCCCUAUAUUCUCCCGACAUCCAAAUCAGCGAUCAAGGAUGGGGUCUGGUACACACAGCAAGGGGGCAAGGAGUUACCAUCAGCAGGUCUAAGAAGCGAAAGCUCCAAAAGCGAUACGGUAGUAUCCUACGUGCCUUACGGGCUGUCGAAGAGGGCGCUGUACGCCCCUCACAGCUCGCACAGACGCCUGAGCGGAUGUGGAGGGAAGCAGAGGGUUUGCGCGCAUUCCUUCAAAUGCCGCCUGUCACACCCCCAAGGAUUUGCGAGCAGUUCAGCGACGAGCCUGCACCCAAAGCAAAUGUCUUUUGCCGACUCACGGUUCCACCAAAGCAGGAUCCACAACCUUCCAGGCGCAGGCCAUCACCAGAACCUGAAAGAAGAAGGGAUCCACAACUUGCUAGGCCCAAACCGUCACCAGAGCCUGAAAAGAGAAGGGAUCAACAAGCUCCCAGGCACAGGCCAUCAUCAGAGCCCGAGCGAAGGGCUCCGCCUACCGGUCCUAGGCGUAAGCUGUUCACGACCCCGGAACCAGAGUCCAAACGCGAGCCGUCUCAGCCCUCACGGCAACGGGAACGUCAAAAUCCGGAGGCCAAUAUCAUAAGGGAGCCACCACCACCACACCCGCCUCGGGCACGGUCUACCCCGGAGCCCGAGACUCGGAUGGUUCCCCGAGUAUCCGCCCUACAACGGUUGAAAAAAGAAGACAACGAUAAGGCUCCUCUGGCGACAGACAAACAACCAGCCAAGGACCAUCAACCUUCAACCAAGUCAGUGUGACGUCCGCGGCAACCCGAGGCUCAAGAGCCACCAAUAGCCGCACAGGCGCCCUCCAGUCCUAACCUCGCCCAACAAAUGACCCAACGUUUCCGCGAGAAUUCAGAAGACGACGAGGCACAUUCAGAACCUCGACUUAACCUAGAGGAAGACCGGGACGAUGAGCAGGCAGAAUCAUUCACCUGUAAUAUGAUAGAGGUCUCAGGAUGGGAUGCUGAUGAAGGGUUUAGCAGCGAAGCAGACGCUUUCGCGGUGCUCGAAGGGGAACACGGGAUCAUUGACACUCCCCUGGUCCCAAUUCUUGAACAAUUCUCCUUUUAGGUCGGGAUGGUGUUCUUCAUUUAGGAAAGAUACGCUCUCCCACCAAACACAACCUGCAGUGAGGCGGAUAUUCCCGUUAGCGGCGAGGAUAUCAGUAGCAUACCCCCGCCAUGCAGCAGCGAAAUGGGCCCAGUUCCGGCACAGGCCGACGACGCCCCACAGGUGGAAAUUACGAGUAGCAUCAAACAUAAGCAAACUCUAACCUUCUCCACACCAACUUUGGACAUGGCCACUCACAUGCGGCCACUGUAUAUCACGGCCGAAGUCGAAGGAAAAAUGAUCAACAAGGUCAUGGCCGACACCGGUGCCGCGGUCAAUGUUGUCACAACCCGUACCAUGGGACUCCUAGACAUCCUACGCUCGAUGAUCCAAACCACGUCCUUAACAGUCAAGAACUUCACCGGGCAAGUGUUCAGAACCCUAGGCUUGCUAUUCCUACGGGUCAAGGUCGGGCCGGCAUCACGGGUUUACACCUUUUUCGUCGCCGAAUGCGCUUCCUCUUAUAGCAUGAUUCUUGGCCGAGAUUGGAUCCACAGAAGUUUUUGCGUGCCUUCCUCCAUGCACCAGGAACUCAUGAUUUGAGACGCCGAGAACCGUGAAGCAGUCAUCAUCAAAGCCGACCCGCGGCCAUUCUCUAUCUCCGCCAACUUCAACGAUGCUUGAUAUUAUACUACAGACUUGGGUCCGUUGGAUGUUCAAGGCGUCGAUAACAAGGGCCGCCCAUAUGGAAUAACGGCCUCCAAUCUAACGCGAUGGGGACUUACCCAGGCGAAGGACGAUUUGCAACGUCCUCACACCAUCGCGAAUCACACACCCCGUUCUGAUGAAUAGUGCAUUCUCAGAGGAGGCACGCGAGACUGGCGAGUCCCUGUGCGAAAGACUCUUUUCGUACUGGGCAGAAUGCGAAGCCUACGAUAAGGUCGCGACUAUGGAAUAUGUAGAUGAAGUGGUGGAUUAUUCCGAUCCCAAGGAGGAAGUUAUUCACUUAGCUCCCGCCGCCUUAGACGAUACACCACCUCAAGUCCGCGACCCCAUUUCACAAGUUGACGUAGGGACUGCAGAAAAGCCCUUACUUAUUUCUAUCAGUGCUAAGUUGGCGGAGGACGAAAAGGAAACCCUUCUUGCCCUGUUCUGCGAGUACAGGGAUUGCUUCGCCGACAAAUACGAAGACAUGCCCGGCUUGUCCCCGGACUUGGUCUGCCACCGGUUACCAACUUAUCCCGACCGACGUCCAGUACGGCAGGACGGCCGAUUCAUGCGAACUGAGACUCAGAUCGUAGUCAAGGAAGAGAUCGAAAGCAUGCACCGAUCGGGCAUCAUUCGCGUGGCAAAAUAUAACGAGUGGCUGUCCAAUGUUGUCCCCGUCCGCAAGAAAAAUGGCAAGAUGCGCGUCUGUGUUGAUUACCGCGACCUAAACAACGCAACAUCGAAGGAUAUCUACCCCAUGCCUGUGGCUGACCUACUCAUUGAUGCCGCCGCGGGGCACGAGAUGUUAUCCUUUAUGGAUGGAACGACCGGAUACCAUUAGAUUCCCGUCGUUGAGGAAGACCGACAUACGACCGCUUUCCGCUGCCCUGGUUUUGCCGGCGCGUUCGAGUACGUUGUCAUGCCUUUCGGACUUAAAAACGCGGGGGCAACGUACCAGCGCGCCAUGAACCUCAUCUUUCAUGACAUCUUGGGGAAGUUGAUCGAAGUAUACAUCGACGAUGUGGUAGUCAAAACCAAAACGUUGAAGACCUGCGGCAUGUGUUUACACGGAUGCGCCGACAUAACCUGAAGAUGAACCCCGCCAAGUGUGUUUUCUUUGCGAAGGCCGGCGAUUUCCUUGGUUUCCUAGUGCAUCAAAGAGGCAUCGAAAUCCCAAAGGACAAGGCACAGGCGGUAAUCACCGCUUCACCCCCCAACACAAAGAAGGAGCUUCAACAGUUGCUUGGGCGAAUCAACUUUCUCCGCCGUUUCAUAUCCAACGCGGCAGGGAAGGUCCAGCCUUUUUCACCCCUCCUCAAGCUCCAGGGGGCAACCGAGUUCGUCUGGGAACCACAACAUCAACAGGCCUUCGAUCGAAUCAAGGACUACCUUACGAACCCACCAGUCCUGAUCCCACCUCGCGACGGUACCCCGCUUAAACUUUAUAUCGCCGCUGCCGACUUGUCCAUCGGUGGACUCCUAGCCCAAGACGAUGUGAACGGGGUAGAACACGCUGUCUAUUACCCUAGCAGGGUGUUAACUGAGUGUGAGACACGAUACUCACCUAUGGAGAAGUUGUGUCUUGCCCUAUAUUUUGCAGGGUGCAAGCUGCGCCAUUACAUGCUUGCCUUUACCACGGUUGUGAUCGCUCAAUCCGACCUGGUCAAAUACAUGCUCUCCCGCCCUAUCUUGCGGGGACGCAUCGGCAAGUGGAUCUUAGCUAUGUCCGAAUUCUCGUUGCAAUAUGUUCCGCAAAAGGCAGUAAAAGGACAGGCAAUAGCAGACUUUCUCGCUCAUCACCCACCCUUAGAGCUCACGGCGUUUCGCGAGUUCGAAUUCGCUGCUGUGGCACUCGCUUCCUAGACCCUAUACUUUGAUGGUUCACGGACUGAUACCGCAGCCAGAGCUGGGAUAGCCAUAGCCAAUCCCACUGGAGAUCGCUUCUCCUACUCGUUCCAGCUCGAUUUCAAAUGUACCAACAACCAGGCUGAGUACGAGGCGCUGAUCAUCGGCCUAGAGAUUUUGUUGGAUUUAGGAGUCCGCGUGGUUCAGAUCUUUGGCGAUUCUUUGUUGGUCGUUAACCAGCUGGUGGAAAAGUUUAAGUGCUUAAGCUCGUCAAUUGAGCCAUACCUGCGCAAGGCAUUUGAGGUGUUGGAUCGAUUUGAUGACGUCUACAUCGAGCACAUACCACGCGAGUUCAAUUUCGCCGCCAACGAGCUCGCCCAAGUAGCGUCUGGUCUCAGCCUGCGCGACGGCGUGUGCGAACGUUUGCUCAAAGUCGAACGCUGUACGCUUCCCUCUUUCAUCGCUAGGGGGCAAUUUCAGGCCGACACCCCCAAAGUUGCGGCCUUGAACCCUAUCGACGAGGAUUGGCGGCUACCAUUUAUCGCCUACCUCCAGAACCCCAACGAUGCCGCUCACUCCAGGCAAAUACGUUUCCUCGCCUUAAACUUUAUUUUACGCAAUGGCGAACUCCGGCGGCGUGGGGAGGACGAAAAUGAUUUACGCUGCGUGUUUGGGAACGAAGCUAAACGUAUCAUGCGCGAAGUCCAUUGUGGGGUUUGCGGCUCGCACCAGGCCGGGCCAAAAAUGCGAUGGUUGAUCUGUCGCCAUGGGUACUACUGGCCAACCAUUCUGAAAGACUGUAUUGCCUUUGCCAGAGGUUGCCAAGACUGCCAGGCUCACGGACCAGUGCAACACAUUCCCAACAUCCCGUUACAGCCUAUCAUUAAACCUUGGCCGGGUCGCAGUUGGGCGAUAGAUUUCGUUAGCAUCAUUCAUCCCCAUUCUUCUGAGCAGCAUAGGUUCAUUAUCGUCGCCAUCGAUUUCUUUACCAAAUGGGUCGAGGCCGAACCACUCAAGGUUGCCUCCGCCAACUCGGUUCGCAACUUUAUUUUCCGUAAUAUCAUCUUCCGCUUUGGUAUACCGGAGUGCAUCGUUACGGACAGGGGGGCAGCUUUCAUGGCUGAUUGAGUUGUUAAGUACUUACACGACUACGGAAUCAAGCUUCUCCACUCUACGCCAUAUUAUGCACAGUCCAACGACCAGGCGGAGGCUAGUAAUAAGGUCAUCCUUGGCAUCCUCUGCAAGAUGUUGGAGUUGAACCCGCGUGUCUGGCAUGAGGAACUUCUACCACACGUUGUGGGCCUACCGCACUUCAAAGCGCGGCCCGACGGAUACCACCCCGUACGCUCUCAUGUACGGUCAUGAUGCCGUCCUUCCUCUUGAGAUCAAUAUCGCUUCACUCCGCGUUCAGGAACAGCAUCAACUACUUGGCGAGGAUUACGUCCAAGCCAUGUGGCAGGAGCUUGAAGAUCUUGACGAGCACCGCGUCACCGCUUUCAACAAUCUCGUCCUCGAGAAACAACGCAUCGCACGUUCGUAUGAUAAGGUCACGCGCGGACGGAGCUAUGCUGAGGGCCAGAAAGUGUGGCGCGCGGUACUCCCACUUGGGGAAAAAACCGACGGUCGGGGCAAGUGGUCCGCUCGAUGGGAAGACCCCUUUAUUAUUCAUCGUAUACUUCCCAAGGGGGCAUACCACCUGCGCGACUUAGACGGUACCAUUCAUCGCAAUCCUAUUAAUGGCCGCUUCCUCAAGCGCUACAUUGCUGGAGUUUGGGAACGCGAGGAUCCUCCACCUCCCCUAGGCCCCGUCGCCACUGUCAACAGUGCUACGCGCCAUCGCGUUCUAGCUCUGCCGCCUAACACUAGGGGGCAACCCGGGAUAGAAGACUGAUAGAGUACGUUUUAACAUACCAGCCUAAAAAGGCUAGUAUAAGAUUGGGGCCUAUUCCAGAGGUCCUAAAUAAGGAUAACUCUAUUUUUCUUCAUUUUCUGUAAACGUGCAAAGUCUAAACGCAAAGGCCAGUACAAGAUUGUGGCCUAUUCCAGAGGCCCUAAAAAACAAUAAAUUCAUUUAUUUUGCCCUUUUUGGCGUUGUUUCAAUACAAGUUUCGAACAUCGGCUUUGCGGCCGAAGCAACUACAUUGAUAGAAAGGGUGAAAUUAGACUAUGUUUACAAACAAAGGCAUAGAUCUGCAGAUAUUGGAAGCCUCAACCCGCAUAUCUUGCAGGGUUGAAGAAGAGACUGCCGCCAUAUCCUUCGUUUAAAGUUGGCAAACGUCCCGCUUCUUUAGACCAGCACGAGCCUUGUCACCGGCCCGGACCUAAGACAAAUUAUUGGGAAGCUAGAGGUCCACUGGACCAGGGUCCCUCAUGCUACCGGUCAUGCCUGGAAGGUGCUUGAAAGGCACUGACCAGAACCUGAAGCGUAAGCGGAUGCGGAGCCUCGAGAGCCUCACGUUUGGACAGAACAGCCGGUGCAAGGCAGAAGGUACCCAACCAUUAGUUCGUCCAAACAAAGGCUUGACCUGAGAGUAGAUUUCCAGAAUCACUCCCGGCCUGAGAGUAGAUUUUCAGAAUCAGAAAAAACGAAGAGUGAAAAUGUGAGGUGGGGGCUUUGCUUUAAGAAGGGACAAGAUGAUGUACAGAAGGGUAUAAGAGCCCAUGGCAAGGGGGCAAAGACUUAACUGGUACUUCGCCCCGGCCAAGCGUUUCUUUUUAUAGGCGAGAAGGGUGAUUUUCCUUUUAACAGAUGUCCUCCAUGCAUCGAUUUGCUCCGAGAUAUGAGCUUUGGAGAUAAGGUCGAUGCGUUGUUCCAUAAUGACUACCCGCGUUCCAAACGAGUAGUUGCAUUGGAAACCCCCACCAAAUCUUGGAAGAAGAUUUUUUCCUGGGACGGCAGUUCUUACACAAGAGUUGACAAGAGCGGGAAAAAUUUGAUUUAAUAAUAAUAUUAUAAAGGUUCAUACAAAGGGGGCAAAGUGCUGAUCGGGCCUAAACCCGCCUAGAAGCCCUAUACAAAUCUAUGAGAAGGCCUUCUAAGGCCAACUCUUCAACGUCUGCCUGGGCUUGGGCUUCGUCGGCAGUAGCAGCAGCCGAGUCCAAAGCUUCCUGGGUCUCUUCCGCGGCCUGCACACGGGUUUCUGCCUCUUCAGCUCGGGCCAAGUUCUGGCGAGCUUGAGCAAGCUGAGCUUGCAGCUCCGUUAUCUGAACCUCCAGGGCCUCCACUUGCCGAGCAUAAACAGUGCAUGGGUUCUCUGGCGAUGCCUCAGGGAUUUCAGCGUCAUCAAGCUCGGCUAAAAGGGCUGCCAUCUGAUCGUCUAAGGCUUGGCGGACUUUCUCGUGAGCAGCCGACUGGGCACCAACAUCUUGAACUCGGCGAGCCUGCAGCUCGACAGCGUCGGUGAGUUCCAACACAUGGUCUAGAGCAGGGUUGCUCCCAGCGAGGUGCUGAAUCAGAGCUUCAUGGGCCUCGCGGGCGCGCCUCACCAAGUCGAAUACGUUCAUGUGGGGACCUUGGCGCAGUAACCCGUGAAAGAAAGCCUAGGCCAGGCGAAUGGGCUCUGGAUCGACAGGCGGGGUAAUCCGGGCCCGAAGACGAGCGGUCCGGGUAGCCAAAGAAGAAGACGCCUCGCCAGAUGUUCUCGUUGGGGCCGGAGUGGUUGGUUCAACCUCUGCAACUGCCUCAAUCUCUAGAACGGGCGGUGGGACCUCAAACCGAGUAGGGACUGUCGGUUCUUCGGUGGUCUGGGCCGCUGAGUCUGGUUGCGAAGGAGAGGGCUCAAGCACCGGUUGAAGGUCCUUUGGCGGAACCGCCGAGGGGGCAGCAAAAUCAGAAAGCCGGGUGGUCUGGCCGAGAUCUUCAUCUUGAGCAGGAGCCGAGGUAGGCUCUGGAGGCGGGCUAGUUUCGCCUAGAGCGUCGGUUGGAGAAGGGGGUCGCACGGCGACUUCCUCUGUAACCAUGGUUUGAUCCCCGACGAUUGGUUCCGGGAUUGGGACUUCAACUAUCGCUGUUGCUCCUUCAAUGACAGCGAGGCGAGGUCGGAUGCGGCGGCGAACUUGUCAAAUACAAAGUUAGCAAAUCGUUUGUUGGCUUUAAUGAGUUUGGUUCGAAGAAAGGUCACUUAUCAAAGUGUGCUCUUGCCGAUAUCGUUCAUCCUCUAGCAACUCUUCUUCGUCCUCGACAGGGCGCUUCCGCGAGCCUUUGCCGCUUGUUGGCCGGGGAAUAACGGGAGCAGUCUCACCGUCAUGGUCCGCCGCGGGCUCCUCUUGAGCAGGUGCUUUCCUUUUGUCUCCGGCACCCUCAGGUCUUCUGACCGAUCUCCGGCGGGGUGCAGACUGUAAAGGUAGACAGGAGAGUUAGGAGGAAGCAUUUUGUUGAAGUGGUAAAGGCGGUAUGGAAUUUACAUAGUUGGUGGUUUACCUCGGGUGCGGGAUCGCGUUCUCGAAUGACGAUCCCGGUCGAGCGAUGAGUAGCGGGAACCGGUGGGAGCGCAGGCCUAGACCCUGUCGCAGCCUUUAAACCGCUUUCUUCACGGUCGCGCUGGGCAUCAAGAAUGACGCGAUCUGACUCGCCCAAAGUGUCGUAUAGGGGAUAAAAGAUGGCAGCAAAGACAACAUCAUCUGGGAACCCCCAAUGGUUGUCGGACAAAGAUCGCCACCAAGAAAGAUAGGCGGGGUCAACGCCCAGUGAAUGCUCGAUCUCGAGCAAGUCAGGAGUGAGAAGGAAAAUGUUCUGCAGCGGGGUGACCCGGUCGGACUCGCCAAUCUUCCUCCAGGAGGUGUACUUGUUCACCGAAUGGAAGAGUGGAUAGGGGAUCCCUUGAAAGAAGCCGAGUUGUCUGGCGAAGUGGUUGGGGGCAUAUAGCUCGAAGCCUUGUUCAUCCUCGGCGAGUUGAAGGUCGCAGCAUGAGGAUGCUCUCAUGAAGACGGUCUUGGCAUCUAAGUCCGAAUCAGAGCGCGGGAAGAAGCCCGUCGAUAAGACUUCAGGAUGGCGCCGGCGAACCAUCAUGUCUGUGGUGGGAGGCGGUUCGAGUUGGUUGUACAGGAUGGAGAGGCUGACGAAGAAGGACAGGGGAGUCCGGUUCGCAGCGUUCCUGCACACCGCGAAGCCAAGCAGUUGGUCCUCGGGCAGGAAUUCCAGCGGGGCUCGCCGGAAGAGCGGGAAGUACAGCUGCGUCCAUAAAUCCAGGAUCCACAGAGGGCCAGCAGAGAGAUGGAAGGGUCUUAGGGACAACAUGUGCAGGGUCCGGUAGAGCGCGCCCAGCACGGGCUGCCCUAGCCCUACUUCGAUUCCAUUGUAGAGUGCCUCGGCCAGCUUUGUCCAUUUCCCUGUAGGUUUGUGAGCACUGCCACAGAAUAUGAAUUUAUAAAGCCAGUACUCAAGGAAAGCGAUACCUCCUUCGUGUUGUUCUGCAUGGCCGAUGUAGAACUUCCUCCAUACUCCAUACGAGCCUUUCAGGGCGCGGCGGGCCCCCAGGUUGCAGGAGUGCGUAAACUCGGUCGAUGCAAAGUCGCCUGGCGCAUAUGGCUUUGCAUGAAUCGGCAGCCCGGUGAUGGCGAGGAUGUCCAGUAGAGAAAUGUCCAUUUGCCCGAAAGGAAAAUCGAAAGUGUUGGUGGCACUGUUCCAUAAGCAGGCCGCGGCAGCAAUGGGUGCUCGAUCAGCAUGAGGAGGCAGUGAGAAGCUCAAGGCAAUGGCUUCGUUGAUGCCGGUUGCUUCCCAGAUCGCUUGGUCGGUCUGGAGGCGAGCCGUGUACCAUGCCCGGUCCUCCGCGGUGACGCUGGGCCAUUCCCCGACCCGGAUAUUUGUAUGAGAGCGGGCUUGGUGAAACCAGGAGGCGAAGUUUCCCGGUUCGCGACGCUGGGCAAGGAUUGGUCGGCGCACGGAGGCGGUAUAGUGGUUCAGAUCAGCGGCGGACGGAGGUUGUGAAGGAGUCGGACCGAGCAGGGCUGCCCCUGUUUCAAGGAAAUAAAUGGGUGUUCCUUGAGGAGGGUUGUUGGCAAAACGGCGAGCGAGGCCGGUCGACCAAGAGCUCGCCGCCGUGAGGUUAAGGUUUGGAUCGUUAACAGUUGGUUUGGGAGCCAUUGUUUCUGGGCGGAGUGAGUCCGGUGGUGAAGUUCUGUUGGUUGCAGAAGAAAGGGAAAAGUUUGAUUGGAAAGCGAUGGUGAGAUGUGAGGACCCGCAUCGAGGUUUAUAAAGGAGACGGACCGUAACGUCUUUUCAAUCAGUAGCCGUAAUGAGGAGACGCGAUGACGACCGAAACGUCAGCGCGUUUCAAAUUUCAAACAGUCGCAAUGAUGCCGAAACGUCAGCACCUUUUGAAUUGCGAAUUCCCGUAAAUGGCUCAUUUAGGCCUUUUCGCUUAUCCGUUGCGAAAUGGAUUAAGCUCAAGGCCUAGGGGGCAAUGUUUGAGCCCAGUGGGUAUUUUUGGUCCAAGACUCGGGGUACGUUUUGGAUAACAUUUGGGCCAGUACUUGUGACCCUUUUUUAAUGCGAAGCCCACGAAGGAUGGCGAAGUCUGGCAACACGCGAGCUGGAGUUUUGCAAGGAUUCCGAUACCCCGCGGGAUUCGAUGUCCUCGCGGGAUCCUUUGUUUCAGUUCGUGUAGGAUUCUACAGUGCAUGGCGAGGUAGAGUUGGAAAUGGACUGUAGUACUCCGCGGGAUAGGAUCGCUUAGUGUUCGAGUUCGCGUACGACGCUACAGUAAGAUGAUGCGGGGCGGUGAGCGAGACCUAGGCGAGGUCUGUUCUGGACACGUGUUGCACGGAUCGCGCGGCUCGCGAGCUGGUCGUAUCCUUGUGGAAUUCUAAUUGCUGAGUCCGAAUGGGUUAUGACUAGGUCUAUGCGAAUUGCUCGCGGAUCACUAUAUAAGGGAGCUUGACAUAAUCAAAGAGGACACAAUCAAUCAUACAAAAACAAGUACAAGUUCUCGAGCAUCCUCGAAACCCUAAGUUCUAAGUGCACUUCGCCUUAGUUCUCAGACUCCCUCCCGAUUCGCCUCCUUCCCCUAGUUGUUGCUCUGCUCACCCUAGCAGUGAGUAUCGAUUCACAAGUGACAAGAAGUUUUACUCGUAAUCCCUCGUCGGCGAGGUGGCACCGGUAACCCCUUCUUCGCUUGUUUAGAAGUCUAGCCGCAGCGCAUUCCUUUCCUCGCCCGCGAGGUGGCACGCCCCGCAAAUGUCCUUCUCUUUACUUUUGAGUCACCGGAGUUCCGACUCUGCCCCUGCUGAGACGCGUGGCCAAAACAGGGAGAACAAGGGGUUGAUUACAGUGCUUGGGCUGCUAGCAAGAUUUUCUAUACUGGAGAUGUUUUGAGUGAGUAGCAUGGGAACUUUCUAUAUAUCUAGGUCGAAUGAUUUCUAAAUUCUCAUACUGUAAACUUUGAGAUUAUUGGUGCUGGAGUAUCUUAUUAUUUCUUACUCAUACGAUGAUGUUUUUUGAAGUUACUUCUGAUUUCCUAUUAUUCUGUCUAAUUCAUGCUAAAUUGUCUCUUUUUUUUACCUUUCUUGCCAGUUUUUCUCUACGAUUCAAUCUUCCACAAUGUGGUUGUGGCGACUGAUUCUGAUGCGUAUGAGAACUGCGUUACGAAACCCAACUUGGGUCUGUACACCACUGCGAAUGACGAGUUGUAUUUGUAUGAUGCUGGAAACUAUUGAUAUUAUGAUAUCCACAUACAUUAACAAAUGCAUGCCUCUCUUAGGACAUGAAUUACGUGUUUGCGAAGUUGUAAUGACUAAGCUUGUUUUAUAUAGAUCCAGCUCGUGUUUUACAAAUGAAAG
rnacentral:lncRNA from 1 species